rnacentral:rRNA from 1 species
GGGAUUAAGGUCUCGUUGGUGACCAGCGGAGGGAUCAUUACCGAGUUUACAACUCCCAAACCCCUGUGAACAUACCUAUACGUUGCCUCGGCGGAUCAGCCCGCGCCCUGUAAAAAGGGACGGCCCGCCCGAGGACCCUAAACUCUGUUUUUAGUGGAACUUCUGAGUAAAACAAACAAAUAAAUCAAAACUUUCAACAACGGAUCUCUUGGUUCUGGCAUCGAUGAAGAACGCACCAAAAUGCGAUAAGUAAUGUGAAUUGCAAAAUUCAGUGAAUCAUCGAAUCUUUGAACGCACAUUGCGCCCGCCAGUAUUCUGGCGGUAAUGCCUGUUCGAGCGUCAUUUCAACCCUCAAGCUCAGCUUGGUGUUGGGACUCGCGGUAACCCGCGUUCCCCAAAUCGAUUGGCGGUCACGUCGAGCUUCCAUAGCGUAGUAAUCAUACACCUCGUUACUGGUAAUCGUCGCGGCCACGCCGUAAAACCCCAACUUCUGAAUGUUGACCUCGGAUCACGCAGGAAUACCCGCUGAACAUAAGCGGAUGAAAAAGCGGAGGAA